rnacentral:rRNA from 1 species
GUGUCAGCAGAAGAGGGAAGAAGGAGGGGGCAAGCGUUACCCGGAAGGACUGGGCGUAAAGGGGGCGUAGGCGGUAAAAGAAGUCAUCUGUGAAAACCUAUUGCUCAACGAUAGGCUAGCGGAUGAAACUGAAUUACUUGAGGGCACCAGAGGUAGACGGAAUUACCCGAGUAGGGGUGAAAUCCGCAGAUACGGGUAGGAACGCCGGUGGAGAAGUCGGUCUACUGGGGUGUAACAGACGCUGAGGCCCGAAAGCUAGGGGAGCAAACCGGAUUAGAUACCCGGGUAGUCCUAGCCGUAAACGAUGCUCACUAGGUGUAGGGAGUGACAAACUCUCUGUGCUGAAGCAAACGCGCUAAGUGAGCCGCCUGGGGAGUACGUCCGCAAGGAUGAAACUUAAAUAAAUUGGCGG